CAUUGGCAGUGUCAACAGAUGGUAUAAAAUUACCACCUUAUGUGUUCUUGAUGCAUAAAACAAUGCCAAAGGAACAGCUGCCUACUGGAAUAGUUGUCAAGUGUCAAACUCAGGAUGAAUAUCUACAAAUUUAGUGAAGGAUUGCCUGAAUGUCAUUUACCAUAGGAUACAUCAGCUACCAAGAGAAACAGGAAUGCUUGUCCUAGAAGCAUUCAAAGAUUAUCUGUUGUCAGCAGUGAAGAUUCCUUGCUAGAGAAGGGAACUCUGAUCUUGUCAUACUAGGAGGAACAAAUGCUACAAAUUCUUUAUAAAAUAGACCAUUCCGUUUUUAUAGUCAAAAUGGAUUCUGGCAUCAGGCCAUGCUUAAACCCCUUCAAGGAAAAUGAAAGAACCUUGUGCCAAACAGUUUUUUCGUUGGAUUAAAAGGAAGAAAUGACAAAGUUAUAGCAAAAUAGGUUAAGAAAGGCUAUUUUUCAAAUCCCAUAGAUGGAAUAGAAGAUAACUGUUAUGAAUUAGAAGAAGGAAUACAGAAUGAUGAAGACAUUGGAAUUGACAAAAAAAGUUGAAGAUCAUAAUCGCAACAUGAGAGAUAAUGAAGAGAUGUGCUUCUGUCACCGGUCACCAGGGAGAAGAGAUCAAUGCCUGCUCGUCAUCUUUCCCUCAUGAGGAAGGUGUAACUGCAGUGAAGUCUCCCCUCAGUGUCCUCCAGGCUGAACAGACCAAGUGACCUCAGCUGCUCCUCAUAUGGCUUCUCCUCAAGGCCCUUCACCACCUUCAUAACCCUUCUCUGGAUGCUCUUUAAUAGCUUAAUCUCUUCUUUACACCAUAGCCCAGGAACAAUACAGAGCCAUUUCAUUUAUCUGGCAGUCCAGGCUGGUAUGACAGGAUUAUGCUGUCUGACAGAAAGUAUAUCUCACACAUCACAGAAGAAUCCAACCACAAAUAUUCAAUGUCCAUUUACCACUAUCAGAGCCAGAAUCUCAUUUAUUCCUACAGUAAUGUGCUAAGCUUUACUUGACUGGAAUAUUCUGUAUAUAUCUUCAUAUCACAGUCUCUCUUCAGAAGUGAAGAAGGUUGGUCCUUUACAAUGCUCAGCAGUACCAUGUGGGCUUGCUAUAGCCUUCAUAUUUUAUCUGCGAGGACCACUAUUUUGGUUGAAGGAGUGGUAGGAAUAAAGGGACAUCUCCCAGGACAUGAAAGAAUCAAAGAAGUUGAGAGGUAUGAAGAGCCUGGGUCCACUUCCUUGCAGGCACUGGGGAUCUGAUGUUCAGUUCUAUCCUACAGCCAUCUCCUCUCCAGGCUGAACAAUCUUGGAUCCAUCAUGCUCUUCUGACAAGGUUGCCCUGUGUGGAGUCAAGAAUUGAAGAACUUCCCAGAUCCCUUCCAAUUUGAGAUAUUAAAUGAUUCUGUGAGAAGGGGCUUUGUACAAGGCAUUCUAGAAUUCAUUGUUGUAAUUGUCCUGGUCACAGACCCUUACCUGACUCCAGAAGUGUCUAGAUAGCACUAGUAUACUGGUGCAUAUGCUAGAAGGACCCUCUGAUAAUAAUGCUGUUUUUGACCUGCUACUCCUAAACUGGUGAUGAAUGUGCCUCGCUCUGGGCUUCAGAAAUCAUAAGACAAUUGAGCCCAGGAUCUUAAGACAGUCUUGGGAAGGAAGCAGAGGAGUUAGGAUUCUGGACUUCAGAAGAAUCAGGCUUAUUUAGGGAAUUUCUAUGUCUAAUUAGGAUUACUCUCUGACAAGUAACCAUAAAGAACAAGGUUGUCCAGGAAACUGAUGAUUUUAUAUUGAUUUUUUAAAAUAAAACCAUAUGAUUUAUGAAAGAACUCAUCAAUAAGUCAUCCUACUGUGGACAAAGAAAAGCAGAAAACCUACUUAAAUAAGGGGUCCUUGUUUAUGAACAAAGACACAAAUACAAAGUAAAACAGAGGAGGAGACUAGGGUAAGAAAGGACCGCACUAAAACUCUUGCUUAAUGUAAGCAGGAAUUCAGUUCUCAGACCUCCAUGUGUACCAUUUCAGUAAGGAGAAACACAGCCUUGAUAGAGUCUAAGGAACUGGUGGCUGAUUAGAACCUGGGAGUUACAGUGGACACCAAGCUGAGUUUGAGCCAACAGUUCACUCACUGCAAAUGGGAUGAACCACUUGCUUCAUUAAGUGCAAGUCCAUCCCAUGGUGCUUCAGUAGGAGUAUGGCUAAAAACGGAUGGAAGGCUCUUCUGCUCAGAAGGCCUGGAAGAGGACACCUGGAAAAUUCAAGAAACUCCAGCAGAAACCUAUCAAGAUGAUCAGGCCUUAACCACAUGGCUCAGGAGGAAAAACUGAGGACACUGGACUUUCUUGGUCUGGGGAAGAGGGGGCUAAGGGAUGCCCUAGCAGCAGAGUCAAGUGCUUGAAUGUUACUUCCAAAGAUGGCAAAACCAAGAGAUUUCCAGUACUGGCAGACUAUGUAACAGUAGAAAAUGGCCAAAAAUCUUAUUGUAAGAGGAACUUGUAUUAGAAAACUUUGGGUUUAGGAGGAUAACCUAAGGCUCAUAAGGAAAAAUCAAAAUAUAAGGAAUAAUUUUUUGAGUAUCAGUGUCUUUGACAUAAACACCUAUGCUUUACCCAUGAAAAUGUGAGGGAUUUCACUAACUUUACAAUUCUUAAUCUUACUUGUAUAGGGAUGCUUCCAAGAACCCUUUCUUCUUAGGAAGAAGGUCUGAUUCUCCAGGCCUGUCAUUUUUGCCUCUUCAAAGCUGAUGGAUUUCUAUAAUAGCAAAAGAGUUCUUUUUGCAUGUAAUCCAGGUGGACAGAUAUAAAUGAUACAAUUGGUCAAAGCAGUUGUGUCUCAGUUGUGUGUUUUAAAAACAGCUCAUUACCUAAUGUACCAUGGAAGAGAGUCAGUCACCCAUGGAUACAGCAUAUAGUGUAUCUCUGGUUCACCUUACAUUCAAAGUCUGUAUAAAUAAACCAGCAUUUGUUUUCA